UAGAGGCGCAAGAGACCUCACGUUCAGCACGAGACUCACCUUUGGCUCUGUAAACAACACGACGCUUGACCACAGUCAAAACAAAGCUUUCUGACCGUUUUGAAGAUAUAAAAGUAAAUUUCCUGCAGGUGACAGUCAGUGAGAGCCUUUAAAUGUCAUUUAUCAGCACACAUUUCAGCCCUUCAGGCAAAAACACGCAACUAUCCCCGGAUGAAGUGCAGGAAUGCCGGACACUCCAUCACCUUUCAGCCUACUUUACUGUAUUAGCGCUCCAGGUGUGUCCGAGCCGUCACUGCUUUGUCUUACUGCCCCAGGAUUGUCCGUGUUUUUGCCUUACCGCCACAGAUGAGCUUGUGAUUCAUUGAACACAGCUGGCAGAUCCUUUAUGGUUCAUCAGUCCUCAUGUCAGUCUGAUCAACUGCUUCUGAGCUGGACCUGAGAGAGACAUCUAGUGCUCAAUGCUGAAAUUACAGCUCAUUCACAAACAAAUGAGUGGAAUAUUGUCCCAGGUAAGGUAAAAAAACACAAUCAUCAUGACAAUUGUAAAUAAACUUUUUAUUAAGAAUACAGCUCCUCAUAUUUGAUGUUUUUUUUUUGCCUGUAAACACUUUUAAUCAGUGCCACUGAGUAACCCAUGAAAGAUUAGUCUUCAUAAUCUCUUGCCUCCGGGUCAAAGUUUAGUGACAGACAGUGUGUGUUAGACUCGUCUGCAGGCUAUAUGAGAUGUUUUGUGGCUUAGCGAGCAGCGGUCGAUAACAUCCAGGAACGUUGAGUUUAAGGGGAGUCACUCUGAAUCGGCAGCACUCUAAACCGUCUUGAGCCAAUCAGUCUUGAUACCAUUGACCCAAAAGGUUUUCUGGAUACUUGACACUAUUUCCUGGCAUAGGAAGAAUCACCUGGAUGAAAAACCACAGAGACACAGUAAGAGACUGAUGGGUAACAGUUACUGUAGACAUACAGAGCAAAUAGACAUCUGAAACAGUACCUGGUCUAAUGAGAAUACCUCAUUCUUCUCCUCAUCUGAAGUCACAACAUGGAUCUACAGCACUGAAAAUGAAUCAAAAUGAAUAGAAAUACCACAAAUAAGGGCAAGAAAUAAUAAAACAAAUGUACAAACAUACUACAUACAUGCAUUUAUGUACACCCGCUCUUCUUUAAUAAAACAUUUGAAAGAGA